rnacentral:rRNA from 1 species
UACGGGGGGUGCAAGCGUUGUUCGGAAUUACUGGGCGUAAAGGGUUCGUAGGUGGCCAACUAAGUCAGACGUGAAAUCCCUCAGCUUAACUGGGGAACUGCGUCUGAGACUGGAUGGCUCGAGUGCAGGAGAGGAACGCGGAAUUCCAGGUGUAGCGGUGAAAUGCGUAGAUAUCUGGAGGAACACCGGUGGCGAAGGCGGCGUUCUGGACUGCAACUGACACUGAGGAACGAAAGCCAGGGGAGCAAACGGG